UACGUAGGGGGCAAGCGUUGUCCGGAUUUAUUGGGCGUAAAGAGCGUGUAGGCGGCCAGACAGGUCAGCUGUGAAAACUCGAGGCUCAACCUCGAGACGUCGGUUGAAACCGUUUGGCUAGAGUCCGGAAGAGGAGACUGGAAUUCCUGGUGUAGCGGUGAAAUGCGCAGAUAUCAGGAGGAACACCGGUGGCGAAGGCGGGUCUCUGGGCCGAUACUGACGUGGAGGAGCGAAAAGCGUGGGGGAGCGAACAGG
rnacentral:rRNA from 1 species